rnacentral:rRNA from 1 species
CCUUCGGGUCUAGUGGCGCACGGGUGCGUAACGCGUGGGAACCUGCCCUUAGGUUCGGAAUAACUCCCCGAAAGGGGUGCUAAUACCGGAUAAUGUCUUCGGACCAAAGAUUUAUCGCCUUUGGAUGGGCCCGCGUUGGAUUAGCUAGUUGGUAGGGUAAAGGCCUACCAAGGCGACGAUCCAUAGCUGGUCUUAGAGGAUGAUCAGCCACACUGGGACUGAGACACGGCCCAGACUCCUACGGGAGGCAGCAGUGGGGAAUAUUGGACAAUGGGCGAAAGCCUGAUCCAGCAAUGCCGCGUGAGUGAUGAAGGCCUUAGGGUUGUAAAGCUCUUUUACCCGGGAUGAUAAUGACAGUACCGGGAGAAUAAGCCCCGGCUAACUCCGUGCCAGCAGCCGCGGUAAUACGGAGGGGGCUAGCGUUGUUCGGAAAUACUGGGCGUAAAGCGAACGUAGGCGGCAUGGCAAGUCAGGGGUGAAAUCCCGGAGCUCAACUCCGGAACUGCCUUUGAAACUGCUGUGCUAGAAUCCUGGAGAGGCGAGUGGAAUUCCGAGUGUAGAGGUGAAAUUCGUAGAUAUUCGGAAGAACACCAGUGGCAAAGGGCGACUCGCUGGA